UGGUUUGAUGAAUUUCGUUAUUUUUAUGGGAUUCUUGACCACUAUCUCUUAAAAUAUUUCUUCCGCCCUGUUCUCUCACUCUUCUUCUCUUGUCCAGAAGACGGAUCUGAGGACCCAUCCCCACACAGCCAUCAGUUACCUUCUGUGUGCCUGCACUGUGGAGGAAGCCUUUCUCCCGGCUCCUGCCUGCCUGUCAUCCUCCUCAGGAGCAUCCAGGGGAAGGCUUGUGAGUGAGGGAGCACAGACUGCCCUGUGUCUGGAGCACCCAACUGUUUUGGAGCGAUGCACUAGCCCACACGGGGCCGUCGGCAGUUGGUUAAAACCUAAGCUUAUUUCUCGUUCCCCACUUGCACCUGCUGGCCCUCUCUCCCAUGCUCUACUCCAGGUGACACCGUGAGUGAGUUCCAUCUCUCCUCACAAGGCCUUAACUCUUUGGAAUUCUGGUAGUUAGCUGCCUUGUGAUCUCAGCUCUCUGAUGGGUUUGAGAAAAACUGAUUGCGUAGCAGGUUAAGAUGGGGUAAUAUUUAUAGCUUUCUUCAUCCCAAGCGGAAGUGGCAUCUCCACUGGUUACACUUUGAAUUCAUGACUCCAUACUCUUUCCUGCUGCUGGGCAAUCCCACUCCAUCUCUCUGGUGUAAUCAUUCUCUCAUUCUCCUGGAUGACUGCUUCAGUUUUCCCUCUCUCCUCCUGCAAACUCACUCUCAGCUGAUGAAUUUGCUUCCCAUUUCACUGUAAAAGCAAAAGCAACCUUCCACCAACUCUCACUAUGACACCUACCCAUCUACCUGUGUCUACCCUCUGCCUUCCCUCCUGUUAGAGGAUGAACAGCCAAUGAUCCUAGCAGAGAACCACACCCUUAUUUGUCCAUCAGACAAUUCCCAUAGUCUCUCAUCUACUCAAAGAUGUCUCUCCAGCAUUUCUCUUCUCCCUCUCUGGUCAUCAACUUUCCCUCUCUGCCUCAAACAGCAAACUCUGCUCCCUUCUAAACUUGUCUAGGUAUACAAUAUAACAGAACCCUAUAUUUAUGUAUUUUACUUUCCCAUCAUGGUUAUGUCGGACUUUAUUGCCAUUUAUAAAAAUGGAGGCGGGCCUAAUAAGCUUCCUUUGCACUUUUCUAAUUCUUUCAAAUUCUAUUCCUGUAGACUCCUUCAACUUGGCGUGCAAAUCGCUGAAAAUACUCGUGCUGCCAGCAGAGGGCGCCCUCAUUGUGCCCAUGCUCCGUCCAGGAAGUGCAUAGUGGAGUCCAAAGGAGAUUUGGUCUGGGAAACAUUUGCCCGGGGUUUCUGGUUAUCAUAUUUCCCCAACAGGCACCUGUUUGACUGGCAUUUCCUGGCUCACACCCAUCUUAGCAUAUUUCUUUGUUGGUUGAUUGGCUUGAAGGAAGGUUUCAGUAAUUCAUUACUUCACAUCAUCAGAGCGGAACCCCAUAAGCAAUUAACCCUUCACAAGCUGAGUCACCGGACUUUGGAUAAUACAGGAUUAGACCAUUUAGCUGAAGCAGCUCAAGUCUGUAAAUAUGCAUGGGUUUCUGGAGCCUUUGGCAAUGCCUUAUAUGGAUUUCCUGAAUCAUCAGCAGAACACAGAGAGUCUGGCUCUCCCCACCACCCUGCUGCUGGUGUGUAGCUGUAUCAGAGACAUUGCCUGGGAAGACCACGUGGGACCAGCUGUGUCUGAAACUCUGCUGAUUCUCAGUGCAGAAGUGGAUAGCCGAAGAACUGCUUUCAAGCUACACAGUAGGAUAAAGAGGUAACCUGAUUCUUCUGCUUGAGUGGCUUCACGAAGCAGCGAACACUUUUCCUGUCCAUUGUUGAACCCCUCAUGCCUAACCCAGUGCCUAGAACACAGGCUCGUCAUAGAUGUGUGGAAUGAAUGGAUGAAAGAAAACAACGAAGAGCCAGUUGUCGGUGGAGGAUCCCAAAGGAGCAGUUCCGCCUUCAUGUUGAAGACUUUCUUUGCCCUGCAUGUUGUAACCACAUAAAGCUAGCUGGGAGCCACGUGGCUGCCCUCAUUGUUGCUCCUUGGCAAUGUUCUCUCUGUGCCAGGCAUCAAACAUGAGCCCCUCAGUGGGAUCCCUGCCCUGUGUGCGCCCCAAUACCUGGACACUUCCUGGAUGCUCCAAGAGGAUGGAGAUUUGCCCCUCCCGACUUUCCCAUGAUUAAUGUUUGUCCGUAGCCUUGUCACAACCAACCUUGGGAGUGUUGCUGGGUUCUGGUGGGGGUCCCUCCUGAGAGAGGCCUUUCUAUUCUGUGAGGUGAAUUGAAGGCUGUCAAACCUUUCGCUCAAACUGGUCUCAUCUGCAUCAAGUCGUACAGAAAUUCCUUGAAAUGUCUGGUAUGUGGGUGGAAUCCUUUUUCAGUUUUGAAGAAUGACAGAUUUUCCCCUAUCAUUAUUUUCCUUUGGCUGUGUCAAUGGGAGUUUGGAAGAGAGACAGGAUGGGAAGUUCAAUGUGAGGAUUUGAAUGCCUGUCACAGAAUAGAAGUCUGUCCUUGUACUUUUCCUAGUCUCUUUAGACAAAGUCCCCUCCACCUUAUAGCCCUAUGUAU
ensembl:lncRNA